rnacentral:rRNA from 1 species
UAGGGAAUCUUCCGCAAUGGGCGAAAGCCUGACGGAGCAACGCCGCGUGAGUGAUGAAGGUCUUCGGAUCGUAAAACUCUGUUAUUAGGGAAGAACAAAUGUGUAAGUAACUAUGCACGUCUUGACGGUACCUAAUCAGAAAGCCACGGCUAACUACGUGCCAGCAGCCGCGGUAAUACGUAGGUGGCAAGCGUUAUCCGGAAUUAUUGGGCGUAAAGCGCGCGUAGGCGGUUUUUUAAGGUUGAUGUGAAAGCCCACGGCUCAACCGUGGAGGGUCAUUGGAAACUGGAAAACUUGAGUGCAGAAGAGGAAGGUGGAAUUCCAUGUGUAGCAGUGAAAUGCGCAGAGAUAUGGAGGAACACCAGUGGCGAAGGCGACUUUCUGGUCUGUAACUGACGCUGAUGUGCGAAAGCGGGGGGAUCAAACAGG